CCACCAACAUCGGCAUCAUUAUCCACAGUUGGUGUUGUUGUUGUUUUUGUUGCUGCCGCUCGGUUAUCCAUUCUGACUGGCAGACUUAGAGUUGUUUUGGGUGCUAAUCGAUGUUCAAUAUAUAUUUUUUAAAGUGUUCAAAUCUAAUGGUCUUAUCAUGAACAGGAAAUGAAGUUCGCUAAUCAAAGAUACACUGUGGUUUAACUGAGCAUUAUAGCCUAAUUCGUAAAGUUUUUUGCACAUUUCAAGAACUUAAAAUUUUAAUUUAAACGAGAAUAAAACGACAUUAUUUAUAUUUUUCCUUUA